rnacentral:lncRNA from 1 species
AUUCAUUCCUCUCAGUAGGGACAUUCAUUCAGAGCUCGUCUAUUUCUGUUAGACAAUCUUUGUUAUUGACUUUAAUUUUGUGUCAGAAAUUAUUUUUUUAUUAUUUUCAUUCUUCAAUUCUUUUUCUGUUUUUCUUUUUUUAUAUUAGUGAUCCUCUUUGAGCCUGAAGGUAUUGAUUUAAAGCUGACAGAACUCCUCCACUUCUCCUUUUUUUCUCUAGGAAGUAAGGCACAUGACCAUCUGCAGCUGAUGUAAGAGUUUCUCUUUGUGCAAAGUUCAGGCACCCACUGCAGAUUAGUCACUGGCAGAUUAGAGGUAAGGUCCUAACACACAUGCCUCAACCGGCAACUCACUGAGCGCUAUGUGAUGGAAAGAGGGGUGGAACAUCUCACCGCAGCUGGACUGUCACGCCAAGCUCAGAGCAAAUAAGGAAUGCCUCCUACCAAGCAGCAGGAAGCUGGUGGAGAUAUGGAGAGGAUCAAUAAGGAGACCGGGGAGCUGAGCGCCUCUGGGGAGAUUGCAGAGAGCACAGAACUGAAGACAGACAAAGCCCAGACUGAGCCUAGCACACAGGAGGACACACACACUGACGCAAACGCAGUCACGGCUCUCCAGCAGCAGCUCUUACAGCUCAGCCAGGCCGCGGCUGAUCAGAGAGAGCAUGAGCUUGAUCUGCUUCUGCCUCUGUUUAUUCAGGUGUCUGAAAGCAACAGCGCUGUUGAGGACUUGGACCUGAAGGAUUUGGCCUGUCAGAUUGGAGAGACGCUGGUGUGUCACAUACAGCAGAGAGUUGCAGGAAGACCUGCAGGUACACCCAUGUUCCUUGUUUAGUCAAGCAUAUGUGGGAGUAAGUGGGCUUGAUUUU